rfam:Bombyx mori DNA, contig: Bm_scaf12_contig9832, strain: p50T/Dazao, build 2, whole genome shotgun sequence.
UUAACUCAAUUUUGUAUGGAUUCGGAACGUUUGCCUACGUUUGCCGCUAGGGGCGCUGUUCCAAUUUCAUACAGAUUUGAGUUA